rnacentral:rRNA from 1 species
UACGUAGGGGGCGAGCGUUGUCCGGAUUCAUUGGGCGUAAAGAGCGUGUAGGCGGCUUGUUAAGUCUUGCGUGAAAUCUCGGGGCUCAACCCCGAGCGGUCGUGAGAAACUGGCAGGCUAGAGUGCGGGAGAGGAGAGUGGAAUUCCUGGUGUAGCGGUGAAAUGCGCAGAUAUCAGGAAGAACACCCGUGGCGAAGGCGGCUCUCUGGAACGCAACUGACGCUGAGACGCGAAAGCGUGGGGAGCAAACAGG